GCUGCUUCAGUGAGAACUCGGUUCCUCUCUUCAGCUUCACGCCGGGAAACUGCGAUUUCAGUUCUUGAUUUCUCAGGAAUUACACAGAACAGAGCCGGAACUGCUGCCGAGCCUGAUUCUCCAAUCUGAAAUUCGCAUCCACAGCAUAAGCUUGGAGGGGAGCCUGAGAGGGAGGCUGGGAGAACUGGGACCAUCUCUAACGGCCAGAGGCCCCCCCACUUCAAUUCCAGAGCUGGAGUGUCAGAGGGGCGUGUGGCCACCGCUGAAGGGGUGGGCCCCAUCUUCCUUGGAGCCAGAGGUGCUCCCUGAGAACCGCAGCCGACUUGGUGUUCAGCCAGGGCCCAGCCGGAUAGCAACGCUGGAGGGCAGACAUGGGACACCUGAGGAUUCGCAGAAGCAGAAUCCUCAGGCACAUUCCUCAGGCCUCCCCAGGCACAUUCCUCAGGCCUCCCCAGCCUCCGGAUCCAGCUUGGACCUGGCCAAAUGGAUGUGACCUCACUUCUAACGGGUGGGAAGAUCCCACUGACCAAGGGGUGGGGCCACACUCUGCCCACAAUUGACGGGAGAAGUGAAAACCGCCAAGUGCAAUCUGAGUGAUCAGUGGGGACUGGAUGUGGAACAGGAGAAGACGAACCCGCCUGCGGCCAUUGUCACAGGAUAACCCAGCUGGGAGUGCCCUGGGCUAGGAUUUCAGGAACCUUAUCCUGAGAUUUUGGACUGGUAAACAGGUUGCUGAAAUAGACUCCUGCUCACCUGGAGACAGCUGGCUUCCUGUGGGGGCCGGGGAGUCGGGAGGGCACCAGGGGCCCCAGGUCCUGUCUGUCCUCACUCUCAGAACCCGGCAUCACACCAACUCCAGCUCAGGUGACACCUGGAUGCCAAGUUCAAGGACCCAGGGCCACCUGAAGUUACUGUAGAUCUCAGUGGCCUCAAGGGAAGGAGGGCGUCAGGGAUAGUCAGCCUGUCCUGUUGUGCAGGAGCCAGCCCCAGAAUCCCCUGGAGGGCUUGCGAAAAGGCAGGCCUCUCCUGAGUGUGACUCAUGGAGUGGGUGAGGACCAGAGACUGCAUUUCUGUCCUGUCCCCACACAGCCUGGUAUAGCUGGUCCUGAGAACACUUGGGAGGACAGCCAGGCCCCAGGCCUGCGGGUAGUGGGAGGCUGCGGGAGGGUUGUAGAGGACACCAAACACUGCCCGGGCUCUUUGAGGGUGGCCUUUCCAUGGCCCUGGGGGCUCUGGAGGGAGGUCAGAGCCCCACACCUCUUGCCAUCCUGUUCCGAAAGCCUGCUGUGGCCCCGGUCCUCCCUGCUCACUCCCUCACGCCAACCUCUCCCUCACACCCAUCGUGGGCCCUGCGUUGUUCUGGGGACCCCGCGGGGAAGGCCAGCCAGGUGUCCACCCUCGCAAAGCAUGCUCUGCACGGGCACCACCAAAACCAAACUGAAGCGCAUGACCAAGGGUGCUUUUUUUUUUUUAAUAUUUUUUAGUUGUUGAUGGACAUUUAUUUAUUUAUUUGUAUGUGGUGCUGAGAAUCGAACUCAGUGCCUCGUGCAUGCUAGACAAGCACACUACGACUGAGCCACAACCCCAGCCCCCCAAGAGCGCUUUUUUAUCUCAUUUAGCUUUCUAGGUACUGAGUCGGAGCCCAGGGUGCUCCACCACCAAGAUGCACGUCUUAUUUCGAGACAGGUUCCCACUAAGUUGCUGAGGCCCACAGUCUGAGUUCCUCUUCUCCCUCCCUCUGACUGUUGAGGCUGGCUUUGAAUUGGCGAGCCUCCUGCCUCAGCCUCCGGAGCUGCUGAGAUCACAGGCGUGUGCCACUGCACCUUGCUUAAAAGGUAUUACUUUCAUGGGCUGCUCAGGGAGGUCUCACUGAGAAGGUGACAUUGGAGGUGAGACUCAAAGAAGCUGCUGUGGAGACUGAGACUUUUUAAUACAGGGAAUAUUUAAAACAGGGAGCACCGCACAUGCUUAGGUUCUGGGGUGGCACAAGGGGAGCAGGAGGGAAGAUCCACAAAAACUCAGGGGGGGCUGCCUCCUGGGCAGCCGUGGAGGAGGACUGGAGGUGGGCCCAGGGGUCCAGCUUCUAUUCCUGCCCUGCGGGAACCUGCGGAGUGCUGAAGCAGGAAGGAACGCAACCCCUUGGCCUCGACCAGCUGCGCUGUGCAGCCUCCAAAACGGGCCUUCACAGAGCGGGUCCCAUACCUGGAAGCAUUUUUCUCAGGUGUCAUUAGAGACCUGUUGGUGUGACAACAAUAUCUUGGUCUGCACAGGUCUGUGACCUGUGUGAGGCACAGCUAGUGCCCCUGUGUCCCCCCCAUAGGGAGCGUUCAGUCUGCACCGUCCAGUGAAGGGCCCUGUCCACCCCCCUUCCCAGGCAGGAGCCUCCAGCUGUGCCCAGGCAGGUGUCCCUGCCCACUGUGUGCCCCUGAGCAUCCUGGACACUGCUUCUGCAUGGGUGCUGGACGCCCGGCUGGAGGAUGCCCCCUGGGGAGAGAGCCCCAGGGAGCUGCUGGCCUGGGGUGGGUCUUGAAGAGCAGUUUCUCACCUAAAGGGCUCUGGGCACGGGCUGGCUUCCCAGAGGUGCCUGCCAGGCGCAGGCCAGGUCGGGCUGCCCUCCACCCUGCUGUUGUUGACAGAGCCCCGGGGCCUCUGCAGCUCGGUUGGGCGGGGAGGAGGGUGCUGGUGAGGAGGCCAGUGUUCUGGGCAGGAAGGAAACACCCUCUGGUAGGGAGAUCGGCAGGGCAGAUCGGGACUUGCUGAAACGCUGUCAGGCUGGAGCCCAGAGACCUGGCUUCCCUGGGACAGGCUGGAGUGUGGCAGGCCCACACACGGGGAGAGAACCUGGAGCCUGAAAACCCAGCUCAGCCUCCAACAAACCUGAGCUCGUAAACUCUGGUCCUGGGAACAGAAGUCCAAACAAAAAGGGAGGGAGGAGAGGGACUCAGACUGCGGGCUUUUUGUUCACUUUUAGACACUUUCUUGAAAGCCACCAUCACAACUAAGCCAUGUCACAGUCCACAUUUCAGUUCCUUGAACAACCAAAGUUCAGGCCGACCACAGGGUCUUUGCACAUGCCAUGCUCACCACUUGGAAUGCCCACCCCAUUUCAUCCAGCUCUCUCUUCAAUGUCACCUCCCCCGGGAAGGGCCACCCUCCUCCACUGUCCUCCUAACCACUCUAUUUUGUUUCUUUCUCGCCAUUUAACACAUUAGUCGGCUCUGUAUCUGCGGAUCUCACAUCCGCACGUUGACCAACGGUGCAUGGGAGAUAUUUAAAAAUAUGAUGUUAAUAUGUGAAUGUGCAGACUCUGUCACCGUUCCCCAGACAAGGCACUACAGCAACUGUUGGCUCAUUUACACUGUGUUAGGCCUUACAAGUCAUCUAGAGAGGAUCUCAAGUGUAGGGGAGGGUUCGUGUUGAUUACAGGUAAACAUGACAUCAUCUUAUACAAGGGACCUAAUUAUCCUUGGAAUUUGGCAUGGGCGGAGGUCCUGGAGCCAAUUGCUGUGGACUCCAAGGGAUGACUAUCUGAAA